rnacentral:rRNA from 1 species
GAUGAACGCUGGCGGCGUGCCUAAUACAUGCGAGUCGAGCGAACGGACGAGGAGCUUGCUCCUCUGACGUUAGCGGCGGACGGGUGAGUAACACGUGGAUAACCUACCUAUAAGACUGGGAUAACUUCGGGAAACCGGAGCUAAUACCGGAUAAUAUAUUGAACCGCAUGGUUCAAUAGUGAAAGACGGUUUUGCUGUCACUUAUAGAUGGAUCCGCGCCGCAUUAGCUAGUUGGUAAGGUAACGGCUUACCAAGGCAACGAUGCGUAGCCGACCUGAGAGGGUGAUCGGCCACACUGGAACUGAGACACGGUCCAGACUCCUACGGGAGGCAGCAGUAGGGAAUCUUCCGCAAUGGGCGAAAGCUUGACGGAGCAACGCCGCGUGAGUGAUGAAGGUCUUCGGAUCGUAAAACUCUGUUAUUAGGGAAGAACAAAUGUGUAAGUAACUAUGCACGUCUUGACGGUACCUAAUCAGAAAGCCACGGCUAACUACGUG